GCCUUUGUGGUGUAAUGGUCAGCACACUCGACGGGUAUUCGAGAGGUCCGAGGUUCGAGUUCCGGGAAGGGCA
rnacentral:tRNA from 1 species